AUAGUGGUAAUCUAGUAGAAUGAAAGUAUUGAACCUUUAGGUGUAGUUACCGUAUGAUUCAGUCCUUCUAUUAUAAGUCUCGACUCGAUGGAGGUCAUGAAAAAUCCAUCAAACUCCAAUGUCAGUCAUAUGCAAGAUUAGCUCGACUCGAGUUCAUUCAUAAAUUUUUGUAAAAAUCUUUUUACAGUAUUCACACUUGCUU
rnacentral:lncRNA from 1 species